rnacentral:rRNA from 1 species
UGGCGAACGGGUGAGUAACACGUGGGUGAUCUGCCCUGCACUUUGGGAUAAGCCUGGGAAACUGGGUCUAAUACCAGAUAGGACCAUGCUUUGGAUGGUGUGGUGGAAAGUUUUUUCGGUGUAGGAUGAGCUCGCGGCCUAUCAGCUUGUUGGUGGGGUAAUGACCUACCAAGGCGUCGACGGGUAGCCGGCCUGAGAGGGUGUACGGCCACAUUGGGACUGAGAUACGGCCCAG